AGGUUGUCUACCCACGGGUGGGAGCCCAGCUUGGGCUACACUGGAGCAUCAGCUCCACCCCAUCCUUUCCUUCUCAUGCUUCCUGACCUCCGUGUGCGCAGCGUCCAGGCAGGCCGUGAACCCCCAGUGACCCUAAGAUCCGACUACUCUUGGGUUGUGUGUUGCAGCUGGUCCCUGAAGCUGUCACCCAAGGCUGUCCGUGGGCGGGGACAGUAGCUACAGCUCAGUUGGUAGAGAAGCUGCCGGAGUGUACUCACAACAGAAGCUGCUGGUUUUUGGAUCACAGGGACGAGUCGUUCAGGAGAGCUAUGCACACGCUGAAAUGGCUCCCCUGAGUCUGGCUGUGGGGAGGGCAUACGAGAGCUGGGUGGCUGCUGGUUUGGAGGGAGGUCAUCUUGCUGUCCUGUUUCUUUUGGAUCCCGGUGACUACGCCAAGUAGCCAGGCCCAGGCCAGCCUGACGGGUGUGAAAGCCACCUGGAGGAAGACCCCAGUUCUCCCCGCUGGCCAGGGAGCCUCACUGACCACCCAAGUGGGAUGGACGUGUGGCCAGUGAGUCAGAAAGCUUCCUUUCUCUGCUCCACCCUGGUGAAGACUCGCUCGACGCCUGAACUAGAGAUUUGUUUACCGGGGAGCACACAGUUUUUUGAGCCCAAGAAACCGACAGGCAGAGAUGACCAGAGCCAGCGCGUGGGUGUGGAGGUCUGUGGCUGCCUGGCUGGUGAGCACGGGUGGGCGGCUCACUCCGUCCUGCUCUGGCACCUCCCAGUCCCUCUCCUGAGAGCUGCUUUUCUGCUCUCCAUCAGCUGGGAAAACUCCACAUGACCUUUCUGGGUGAGCAUUGUUUUCUCCAUGUGAAGGUGAGCACCGAAAUGCAGAGCGUUCAGGGGACUUUCUGAGAUCUCACGGUUGCCGGAGAGGCCAGGAGCUUCAGGAUCCAGGUGUGCAGAAAGCACAGUCCUCGCUUGAAGGAGGGAAGAUGAGGAGGUGGCUCCAGAGAUUCCGGGGAGGAAGAUUUAAGCUCACUAGGACUCGGGUGGCCAAGAGGAACCCUCAGUCUGAAGGCGCUAGUGGACACUCAAGACCGGCUCUUUUCCUGGAAAGGUGUCUGGAGAUUGAAGACUGACCGAGCAUAUUACUGGAAAGUGUGACCAGCAUACCUGACACCCCCGCUUCCUAACCUCCUGUGAACAGUGGCAGGUGCUGUGGCUGGGCCGAGAUCCCACCAGUGACCAUGCGGAUGGCGCUUGCUAACCUCUGAGCUCGGGCUCGAAGGAUGUGCAGGAAAUCAGGUGCUUUGGAAAAAGUGCAGAGACACAGGUACAGCACAUGCACGCUGAGAUCUUCGCCCCACCAGUUUUUAACCCAGGUCCAUCUGUGCACAGCCCUGUGCCAUCUGCUGUAACAAGGACCUCAGCACGGUAGAGCGGCAGGGACUCUGUCUGACUCUGACUGGAUUCCCCCCUCCCCUGCCCCAGCUGAUGUCUCAUUCCCCGGCCUGACUUCAGGUGGGUUUUGGGGAAAUUCUUAGUGCCUUUCCCUCCGUGACCCACAGCCCUGCUGUACAUUCCCACUUGUCUGUGUGUACCCCCAAUGCACAACUCCACGGCCGGGGUUUCCCAUCCUUGUCGGAAUGGUCCUGAAGAAACUCUGCCGUUGUAGUUCAGCGAGAGCCUCACACCUGAAGGUGAUGAACUAUCAGGACACCGCAGCUUUGGAAGUGGGGGUCACGGGAUGCGUGACCUGGAAAAUGACAUCUCCCUUCCUUGCCCUCCCCUGGCUUUCUGCGGUCCAUGUUUGUCUGUCACGCCUCUCUGCCAGGUCGUUUCUUCUGGGGAGCUGACCAAAGAAGGAGCAGCCAGAACAACCUCUCCUCCUUUAAACUGUGGGUGUCGGGUACUGUGUCUCAGGACAGGGAAGUGGCUAACGUCUGUUCUUACAAUGCCAUCGAAUACCUUUUCCUCCCCAGCCCAGGCGGUGAGAACUCAGUUCUCUGAGGCUGUGCACAGGGCGCAGGCGGGGAGCAGGAAGGUUGGCCGGAGCAGGUUCCGAAAACAUCAGGACGAGGACCCCGACACCGCCUGGAGAGAAGGGAGUUAAUAAGGCUUUGAACAGGGGCUGAUCUGAUGUGUACUUUACAAGCAGAGUUAUCUCCGGCAGCAGGGUGGAAGACUGACUUCCGUGUCGAGAUUAGGCAGGAAAACCCCACCAGGUAAGAAAUGAGGUGCGUAGGGGCAAGCAUGGCAAAAAGGGAACACAUUUGAAAAGUGGGGAAUGUGGGGCUCUGUGCCCGCCGGCCCCGCACAGCCUGGCUGUCUUUACUAGCAAGGGUGAAGGCAGGCGAGAGGCGGGCUUGGGCGGUGCUGGGGAGGGCUGCAGGCUGGACACAGUGGUCCCGGGCCACCGGAGGGGCUGCGCUGUCGCUGCCCUCCUGUUCUCAUUGCUGAGACGAAAUCCUCACACCAGAGUUAGAGGAGUUCAGGUUUAUUUGGCUCCCAGGCCACAGCCAGCGAUCUCCAAGGCAGGGUGCAGGGGAGAGGGGCCUCGCAGGGGAGGAGCUGUCCACCGCAGGGUCGGGGGAGCGGGAGGGCAGCAGGCGGUGCAGGACCUGCCUCCCGUCCACCCUCUGUAGUCCACCCAGGCUUUAAACCUGGUGACGGUGUCAGCGCACCCAGGGUGGGGCUUCCACUGUCCACGCCCAGAACUGGGCUAAACGCCUUCAGGUCCCACAUGCCAGUAACGCCAGUGCCACACCCUGACCCAGCUGCUGCCCAAAGGCGAGGCUUGGGGGGCAGCCACGCAGCUGCCUUCCUGAGGGGCCUGGUGCCCUUCAACAUUCCGGGUCAAAGAUCAAUUCAUCUUUCUCUGUCUGUUUUAGUCCCAGGUCUGGAAGCUUCUUUCAGGUGGUUACAUGCGUUGUUUUCUCCAGUCCUUAAAUUCUUAAAUCCCUGAAGACAGGGCGAAAGAAUUACUGGGGAAAACCAGAUAGGACGGGGAAAGAAAUUAAAGGAGAAAAAAAAUAUAUAUAUAUAUAUAUUUAUAUACAAUAUAUAGCUAAUAUAUAUAUUAGCUAAGAUAAUUGUACUAUUUUUUAAUUUUUUGAUAAUUGCACUAUUAAUCCUGUUGGUUCAAGGAAAGCAGCGGUUAGUGCUCACACUGUGUGGUCAGUUUUGCACGCCUGUAUCUGGUAAUCUGCAGCAACUCUUUCGAAGAUACCAAUACACACAUAAUGACCACUGUUAAAUCCUAUCAUCUUGUCUUAAAGCCUAUACUGCUAUUGUUUUAGGGGUUUUGUUUGUUCUGUUGUUUUUCUGUGUUUUUGUUUCUCUUUAAAAUUUAAAGACAAAUAAAAGGAAACCUAAGCUGUCCUUUUGCAUAGUGCUUUGGGGAGCGUGAAAGAGGAAAUUAAACUUCUCUGCUCUAAAAUUUUAUUUUUAAGGUAUGCUUCUUAUUCGCUGUCUUCUGUGCAUUUCCGUUCUUUCCCGACUUUGGCCCUUGUAUCUGUCCGUGUUUGUGGCGGGAAUGUCUGCAUCCCCUGCGUGGAGUGCUGCAUGCGUGUAACCCGCCAGCUGCUCUUCCUCCCUUCCUUCCCAUCUUCCUCCCCCGUCUCUUGAUCCCUUUCUUCUCUGAGUGAUAUCCAGCUCUCUAUUUCCUGUUAUCUGUUAUUUCUUCUUUAUUUGUGCUUUGGGUUUCUAACAUAAAAGAAACUGUGUGACAUUUAACCUCCUGUGUCUGAUUUAUUUCACGCCACUUAAGGUCUCCAGGUGGGUCCAUUUUUUACAAAUGACUCAAAUGUAUCUUUCUUUGUGGCAGUAGAGGACUCCAUUGUGUGUAAAUACCACAUUUUUAAAUCUAUUCACCCUGUUAUGGGUGUUGUAGUCAGGUCUUAUAAGGGAACAGAUUUAAUACAUAAUUUAUAGGAUUAUUUCAUAAUAUUCACCCAAAGAGUCAUAUGUAAGAGAAAAGUGCAGGAGAUCUGUCCACACACUAGAGACCCAAACAAUCCAGCUGAGGUCCUGGAUCCACGGCAAUGUCCUGCACGAGUCCAGCUGGAGGCCGAGAGUCCAUGGCAAUGUCCCUUGCAAGUCUGUGUCAAGGAUCUGCGUGGGGAAGGCUCAAAGGCCGUGGAUUCCGGCUGCUUUUGCAGUUGCCUGUUAACCCUGGGACGCUGGUCUGUGCUGAGAGGUGGAGCUGUGACUGUUGCUGUCCCGGUGAUGAAGACAGUGUGUGGCACAGGACGAGCCUUCAGGAGAAAUGUGCCAGAUGGCUGGGCGUGGUGGUGCUGAGCUUGAAGUCCCAGCUACUCAGGAGACCGAAGUAGGCAGAUCAUUGAACUGAACUCAGGGGAUGGAGACCAGCCUGGGCAACAGAGCCAGAGCCUAUCUAAAAUAAAAUAAAAUAAGCGUUAA